GCCAAGAUGGAGUCCAGCGCAAAGGAUCCUGGGAGGUUGGUCCUCUCCUCCCUCCUGCGGGCCCCUCCUAAAUCCUCCUGCUUAGGCUUCAGCACCUGUUCCUUAUCAGGGCUUCCUGUUGUGAGUCAGCUGGUGCAGGCGGCUAUUAUUGCGCUUGGCCAGGGUGGGCGGUUUCAGUCAGUGGUCCCCUAACAACUGCCCCCUGAAAGCAGGUACUCCUUGGGCAUCAGGGCAGAGGUCUCUCUCUUCCGUAACUGCUUCCUGGUGGGAGUGGGUGCUGCCCUGCCUACCCAAGUAGACGUCUCUUUCCACCUGAUCUAAAUGCAACCCACACCCGAAACCAGCUUCCACCCUGGGAACAACCGUUCAGCCUGUAACUGUUGGGAGAUAAACCUUGUAAGCUGUUUGGAACCGACAGGGGCCCAACAGGAGGCUUUCCAGGAUGGGGGCCCGCAGGACCCGGACAAAGAAGGCAAAAUGUGGGGAGAGGGCUGGGCGGGGUGUGUGUGUGUGACUUUCUUCUGAUUGGCUGGUGAUGCGCCAACUGGGCGGGGCUCCAGGCACCUCGUGCUCAGCCAGACGCCACUACCCUCCAGGGGGUGCUGGGGGUCCCAGUUCCCCUCUGACCGCUACUCAACCUCUGUCCCCUGGUGCCAAAUAGAAAUACAGAGACAGAGUUUGGGGUGACGUGGAAAAUAGUAGCAUUUAUUGCUUUGCCAGGCAGAGGAGGCCACAGCAAGCUAUGUCCUCAAGACGCUGCCCCCCUAGGGGAGCGAAUAGGAGGGGGGUUUAUGGUUUGGGAGUGGAAAACGGCUGCAGAUAAGGAUCCGGGUAGAUGCAAGCUUGCAUUCUUCUUCGAGCUGCCUUCUGCGCUUCCCGGACUGGUUCUGGAGGUCGGUCGUUGAGUUAUCAUACUGCCAUCUUCUUUCUGGAAGGAAGCCGCUUCCAUCAGCCUUUCCACGAGCGCCACCUGGAGGUGGGAGGUGAACCCUGCGGCGAGGAGCUGGACACGAUGGACGCACCCCGCAAAGACAGAGCGUUCUCCUUCCCAGACUUCCUGGAGGAGAUGCCAACUUCAGGAGGAACAAGUCGGUCGGGAAGCCACGCUGUAGCCAAGGCUUUUAAAAAUACCAAAAGACUGUGGCGGAGCCAGAGGGCACGACUCACCAGAUGAGAAACAGCCUCACCAGCCGCAAGGUGAAGUCUUUGGAGAAGGUAUAUGUUGACCUGAUCAGAGGCUCAAAGGGAAAGAAUCUCAGAGUGAAAAGAUUCAGAUGCCCGCCAAGACGAUGAGAACAACUCCAAGAAAAACUCCCUGUGGUGAAGGUACUAAGACGGGAUCGUUUCCAGGUGAGGCUCCACAAGCAACGCAGUGACCUGUGCAGCCCUUGCGAGGCUGUUUCGGCACAUCACGUCCAUCGGUACGGAGCCAGGGGUCGAGGCUGAAGUCACCACUGCAGAUGCUCAAGUCCAACUUUUUAGUAAAUUGAUACCAGUUGUGAAAGAAAGAGAAGGCAGGCAGGCAAGCAGGCAGGCAGAGAGAGAG